rnacentral:rRNA from 1 species
GACGAACGCUGGCGGCGUGCUUAACACAUGCAAGUCGAACGGGAAGGCCCUGCUUUUGUGGGGUGCUCGAGUGGCGAACGGGUGAGUAACACGUGAGUAACCUGCCCUUGACUUUGGGAUAACUUCAGGAAACUGGGGCUAAUACCGGCUAGGAGCUCCUGCUGCAUGGUGGGGGUUGGAAAGUUUCGGCGGUUGGGGAUGGACUCGCGGCUUAUCAGCUUGUUGGUGGGGUAGUGGCUUACCAAGGCUUUGACGGGUAGCCGGCCUGAGAGGGUGACCGGCCACAUUGGGACUGAGAUACGGCCCAGACUCCUACGGGAGGCAGCAGUGGGGAAUAUUGCACAAUGGGCGGAAGCCUGAUGCAGCAACGCCGCGUGCGGGAUGACGGCCUUCGGGUUGUAAACCGCUUUCGCCUGUGACGAAGCGUGAGUGACGGUAAUGGGUAAAGAAGCACCGGCUAACUACGUG